rnacentral:ncRNA from 1 species
AAGGCCUGAUGUGUGUGAGAUUACCCGCUGAAUUUAAGCAUAUAAGUAAGCGGAGGAAAAGAAACUAACUAGGAUUCCCUUAGUAAUGGCGAAUGAACAGGGAUCAGCUCAGUGCCAAAUCGGAAUCACUUGUGGUUCUGAAAUGUGGCUUGAAGCAGUACCAGUGGCAUCGCGGACGAAAGUCUCUUGGAAAAGAGCGUCAUAGAGGGUGAGAAUCCCGUGAGUCGUUCGCCGUU